CAGCAGCCGCGGUAAUACGUAGGUGGCAAGCGUUGUCCGGAAUUAUUGGGCGUAAAGGGCUCGCAGGCGGUUUCUUAAGUCUGAUGUGAAAGCCCCCGGCUCAACCGGGGAGGGUCAUUGGAAACUGGGAAACUUGAGUGCAGAAGAGGAGAGUGGAAUUCCACGUGUAGCGGUGAAAUGCGUAGAGAUGUGGAGGAACACCAGUGGCGAAGGCGACUCUCUGGCCUGUAACUGACGCUGAGGAGCGAAAGCGUGGGGAGCGAACAGGAUUAGAUACCCCUGUAGUCCCUGUCUCUUAUAC
rnacentral:rRNA from 1 species